CCUACGGGUGGCAGCAGUGAGGAAUAUUGGUCAAUGGACGAGAGUCUGAACCAGCCAAGUAGCGUGAAGGAUGACUGCCCUAUGGGUUGUAAACUUCUUUUAUAUGGGAAUAAAACGCGGCACGUGUGCUUUUUUGCAUGUACCUUAUGAAUAAGGAUCGGCUAACUCCGUGCCAGCAGCCGCGGUAAUACGGAGGAUCCGAGCGUUAUCCGGAUUUAUUGGGUUUAAAGGGAGCGUAGAUGGGUUGUUAAGUCAGUUGGGAAAGUUUGCGGCUCAACCGUAAAAUUGCAAUUGAUACUGGCAGCCUUGAGUACAGUAGAGGUAGGCGGAAUUCGUGGUGUAGCGGUGAAAUGCGUAGAUAUCAGGAAGAACCCCGAUUGCGAAGGCAGCUUACUAGCCUGUGACUGACACUGAUGCUCGAAAGUGUGGGUAUCAAACAGGAUUAGAUACCCCAGUAGUC
rnacentral:rRNA from 1 species